AUUGAACGCUGGCGGCAGGCUUAACACAUGCAAGUCGAACGAGUGGCGGACGGGUGAGUCAUGCUUGGGAAUCUAGCUUAUGGAGGGGGAUAACUACGGGAAACUGUAGCUAAUACCGCGUACCAUAGGCUGAGCCCAAGUGGGAAUAGGUAGUUGGUGAGGUAAAGGCUCACCAAGCCGACGAUCUCUAGCUGGUCUGAGAGGCUGACCAGCCACACUGGGACUGAGACACGGCCCAGACUCCUACGGGAGGCAGCAGUGGGGAAUAUUGCGCAAUGGGGGCAACCUGACGCAGCCAUGCCGCGUGAAUGAAGAAGGCCUUCGGGUUGUAAAGUUCUUUCGGUAGCGAGGCGUUAACUACAGAAGAAGCACCGGCUAACUCCGUGCCAGCAGCCGCGGUAAUAC
rnacentral:rRNA from 1 species